rnacentral:rRNA from 1 species
UACGUAGGGGGCUAGCGUUGUCCGGAAUCAUUGGGCGUAAAGCGCGUGUAGGCGGUCCGGUAAGUCCGCUGUGAAAGUCGGGGGGCUCAACCCUCGGAUGCCGGUGGAUACUGUCGGGCUUGAGUACGGAAGAGGCGAGUGGAAUUCCUGGUGUAGCGGUGAAAUGCGCAGAUAUCAAGGAGGAACACCAGUGGCGAAGGCGGCCACCUGGACGGUAACUGACGCUGAGACGCGAAAGCGUGGGGAGCAAACAGA